rnacentral:rRNA from 1 species
UACGUAGGGCGCAAGCGUUGUCCGGAAUUAUUGGGCGUAAAGGGCUCGUAGGCGGUCUGUUGCGUCGGGAGUGAAAACUCAGGGCUUAACCCUGAGCCUGCUUCCGAUACGGGCAGACUAGAGGUAUGCAGGGGGAGAACGGAAUUCCUGGUGUAGCGGUGAAAUGCGCAGAUAUCAGGAGGAACACCGGUGGCGAAGGCGGUCUCUGGGCAUUACCUGACGCUGAGGAGCGAA